AUGGGAGGAGGAACUAAAGAGCCUAGUAUUGAUGUUGUAGAUACUCCAGGGAUUUCGGAUCAUCCUUUGGAGGAUCGGAACACCAUUGAGAUGCAGGCCAUCACAGCCCUGGCCCAGCCCCGAGCUGCAGUUCUGUAUGUGAUGGAUUUGUCUGAGCAGUGUGGACAUGGGUUGAAGGAGCAAUUAGAACUCUUCCAGAAUAUCAGACCCCUGUUUAUCAACAAGCCUCUUAUUGUUGUAGCAAACAAAUGUGAUGUGAAGAGAAUAGCUGAACUUUCUGAAGAAGAUCAGAAAAUAUUUCUAGACUUGCAGGCUGAAGGAUUUCCUGUCAUCGAGACCAGCACCCUGACUGAGGAAGGUGUCAUUCAAGUUAAAACAGAGGCUUGUGAUAGGCUUUUGGCUCACCGAGUAGAAACGAAAAUGAAAGGAAAUAAAGUGAAUGAGGUUCUGAACAGAUUGCACUUAGCUGUGCCCAACAAGAGAGAUGACAAGGAGAGACCCCCUUUCAUCCCAGAAGGAGUGGUAGCUCGUCGGAAGAGAAUGGAGAUCGCAGAACCCAAGAAGAAGAGGGAACGAGAUCCUGAAAAUGGGAGAUGAUUAUAUUUUGGAUCUUCAGAAAUACUGGGACUUAAUGAAUUCAUCUGAGAAGUAUGAUAAGAUACCAGAGAUUUGGGAAGGCCACAAUGUUGCUGAUUAUAUCGAUCCUGCUAUCAUGAAGAAAUUAGAAGAGUUGGAAAAGGAAGAAGAGCUCAGAACAGCUGCUGGGGAGUAUGACAGCGAGUCUGAGAGUGAAGACGAGGAAAUGGUGGAAAUCCGACAGCUGGCAAAACAAAUUAGAGAGAAGAAGAAGUUGAAAAUUCUACAGUCCAAAGAAAAGAACACACAGGGACCCCGGAUGCCCCGGACUGCUAAGAAGGUUCAACAGGCAGAUUUAGAGAAUGAGAUGCGUAGUCUUGGCGUGGACAUGGAUGAUAAAGACAAUGCCCACUAUGCAGUCCAGGCCAGAAGAUCUCGGAGUGUCACCAGGAAAAGAAAACGAGAAGAGUCUGUUCCUCCCUCUUCCAUAGCCCGCAGUCGCAGUCGGAGUUGCUCUAAAACGCCACGUGAUGUUUCUGGUCUUCGGGAUGUCAAGAUGGUGAAGAAAGCCAAGACCAUGAUGAAGAAAGCCCAGAAGAAGAUGAAUCGCUUGGGGAAGAAGGGGGAAGCAGAUAGGCAUGUGUUUGAUAUGAAGCCCAAGCACCUACUCUCUGGGAAGAGGAAAGCUGGUAAAAAGGACAGGAGAUAAUGUCCUCUUCGGUCGGAGUAGUUUAACUAGACCCGUGAUUAUUUCUGAGUGUGUGAUCUUGUGUUUUAUAGAAUUUGGGAUCAACAUCUGUUAACCAAAGAAACGAUGGAAAUGACUUUUAAAUGCUUGUUGCUGUGCUGAAAACUGGUAAAGCCGAGUAAGCGUGUGGUGCCGUGGCCCUGCGCAGUCAGAUGUUACCUGCAGAGCGCUCUGUACUGGAUGACGCGCUUCUUUCACAGCCAAGGGACUCAUUUUGCAGAAAAGAUGUAUUGGUGUAAGGAGGCUGCUUUGGUGGGGGAAAACUUUUGUAGUAGAUCUUUUGACACCCAAAAUACCUAUUUUUGUUAAGAAAGUAUUCCUGCUGGGAGGUCUUACAUUUAGCGUGUAUCAGAACUUAAACUACAGUCUUAAAUUAUUUUCUGCAUCUGUAGUACAAUGUAUCAUUGUAACUUCAAACAUUUUAUCCAAAGUAAACAUCCAGCAAAAACAUAGUUUUGAUCAUUUACAUUUAGUUUGAUUUAAUUGCAAGUCUCUUGAUAGCCAAAAGGAACGGGCAGGGAAUAGGACUUUGCUUAGAGCAAAAAUAGUUUUUUAAAGGGAAUAAGUGCCUGGAUAUGUCUUCUUUCACUAACAACAGCUGGAUUAAGAUUGGUGUCCUAGAAAGUAAAGAAACAUUGAUGAGAGGGAUCCCAGUGUGGCUGGAACUGCAGCCCUGUCCACAGAUCAGAAGACAGCCUUCCCACUGUCAGCGCUUCCUGUCAGUGUGACCGCUUCUGACCUGUAUCGGAAACCAGUGAUGUAUACAUGUAUUAUAUUCUCUAUCCUAAAUCAUAUGGACUCUUUGAGACUUUUUUAAAAAAUAGUUUUAUUUGUCUUGGA